AACGAACGCUGGCGGCAUGCCUAACACAUGCAAGUCGAACGACACCUCCGGGUGUAGUUGCGCUCGGGUGCGUAACGCGGGGGAAGCUGCACUUAUGUUCCGGAUACCUCCCUUUAGGGGGUGCUAAUGCAGGGUAAUGUAUUCUGACAAAAGAUUUAUCGCCUUUGGAUGGGCCCGGGUUGGUUUAGCUUGUUGGUAGGGUAAAAGCCUAUCAAGGCGACGAUCCAUAGCUGGUCUGAGAGGAUGGUCCGCCACACUGGGACUGAGGCACGGCCCAGAAUCUUACGGGAGGGAGGAGUGGGGAAUAUAGGACAAUGGGGGAAAGGCUGAUCCAGCUAGGCCGCGUGAGUCAUGAAGGCGUUAGGGAAGUAAAGCUCUUUUACCCGGGACGAUAAUGACAGUACCGGGAGAAUAAGCACCGGCUAACUCCGUG
rnacentral:rRNA from 1 species